GGAAAUGGCGGCGGCGAAUACAGCGACAGCAGCGACUACGCCGGCAGCGGCCAGGCUAAACUAGUCACUUUCGAGCUCAUCGAUGAGAAGGAUCGUCGAGUCGGUGAUGCGCACGCGUGUCACGUAGGCCUACGUGGCGCUGACUUUCGACUCCAUACCUACCUAACAUCUGUCUUCUCAGUAACUCUGCUGGGGAAGCAGUAGUCCCUGCCUGUCGUAAGUGAGGAAACUGAAGGAGACCCUGUGGCUGAGUAAACUGCCCAAUGCCAUUGAGAUGCAUAGUGAUGGAUAUGAGAUUCAAACUUGGAUUUUUCUGGCUUGAAAGUCUCUGUUCCUUUCACCACAGUAAAACUAAAGAGAAGAGAAAGAGCUAUUUCUGGAGGUGACUUUGGCUAUCCCUUAGGACUCUGAGUAUGUGGACAAAGUAGAGAACAGAGAUUGCAGUGGGAAUAUUCCUGGAACCCUGAAGACCCAGUGGCCUGUCAUUUGAGCAUAGCAGGCAUUCUCCCAUCCCACAGGAGUAUCGAUGAUGAUGUUUGCUGAGAUCAAUGAUGUUUAUUAAUUGAUUAAAGAUGCUUUUGUACUUAAAAAUACCAAUAGAAUCUUGGAUCAGGUAAAGUUUUCCUAUAUUUGAUUUUUAUUGAUACUUCUGAAUUCCAAGGAAAUUAUAUGAAUAUUAAAUGAGCUUUGAGACCUGUUUUCCUAUUGUUUUGGGCAUUCUCUGCACUCCAUCUUGUAUUUCUGUCCUUUCUCCUAUGGAGUAAAGCAGAAUGAUUUAGAAUGCUUAAGAGUUUGUGGAUGUAAGACAUCAAGCCUUUAUUUGUAACAAUAAUCUGAAAUUCAGGUUAAUUUUCAUGCCCUGAUUCACAUUCCUCCUGCCCCCUUUCCACAUUUAGGUUUGUCUUCAGUUGUCUUAUAACAAUACUUUCCCUUAGCCAGAGUAAGGAUCAGUGCCUCCUCCCUGCCCCCCCCCCACCUUUACUUGUACACAUGGGCCUACUGUUUUAUACAUGCAGUGGACACCAAAGUCCACAGAUGUGCAGAUCCCUUAUGUAAAACAAGCAGCACAUGUUCAGUAUAGAAACAUUUUUUUUUCUGAAUAUUUUUAGUCUGUGGUUGGUUGAAUCCAUGGAUGCAGAACUCUUGAAGGGAGGGCCAACUGUAAUAUUCAGUUUACCCCAUGAUUAUAAUCUAGUCUUAGUUGUUUUUUAAUAGAUUUACACAUAUGUACAUGCAUGCAUGCACACAUCCACAUAAUACCCAAUGAACUGGAUUCUAAGCUUUUUGAAAGCAGGACUGUACCCCAAUGACAACUAACAAUAUGGUGUGUGUUGUAUAUACAUUCUCAGGAUAGCCAUCUUCUGUUCAUCUCUCUGGUCCUAGAGCCAAGAACACAGUAAAUAUUAAAAAAUGUUUAUUGAGAUAGCUGAGAAAUGUGUUCAAACUAUUCUGCUGAAGUUCUAGAUAUUUGAUAGUGGUAGAUUGUGACAUAUAGUGUGAAAAACUGGUGCACAAACCUUCUAAAAGCUUGCUGAAGUCUUUUCUCUUCCAUCACAAUUUCCCCAGGCUGGCACAAUCCGCACUUUUCUCCCCUUGUUCAUGACUUCUCCUUUUGGUUCUGAAUUAGUAAUGCAUUCUAUAUCUACACUGGGAAAAGCUCCUCACUCAGGAUAUCAUAUCUGUAGGAUAGGGUUGAUAAUAUACCUACCUAGUUGGAGUUGUCUUGUGAUUAAAUGACUUUAUAUAUAUACUGUACGUAUAUACACACACAUAUGUAUUUAGAAUUUUUAUAUAUAUGUAUUAAAUGCACAUAUAUAAAUAUAUAUUUAUUUAGAACUUUUCCUGCAUAUAAAAGUGAUCUAUAGGUGAUUAUUUUUAUUGUUGUGAUUAUAACAUUUAUUUUUAGGUGUGAAUAGAACCUUUCUGAAGGGGCAGGCAUCAUCAUUCCUGGUAUUGGUAAUUUGUGUCUUUAUGUUUCCUCAUCCGUUUAACUACAGAUUUAUCAAUUCUAUUAAUUUUUCUUAUACUAUUAGUUUUUUUUCUUCUUUGUUUUUAAAACCAUUGAUUUCUUUAUACUUCUUCCUACUUGUUUUGGGCUUUUUUAAAAAUUCGUUUUGUAGUUUCUUAUGAUAUAUAAUUUGUUGGAGACCAUACUUCUUUUCAGAUGUAAACAUUUAUCUUAAUUUUUCUUAUACUGUUUCAGCUGCAUACUAUACAUUUCAAUAUGUUGUGUUUCAAUUUUGUGCUGUUAAAAUAUUUUCUACUUUUUUGUCAUUUCUUCUUUAUUUAUGAAUUACUCACAAGUGUGUUGUUUUAUUUGCAAAUAUUUGGAGAUUUUCCAGAUUGCUUUCAGUUGAAAUAGCAACAUAACUUUGUGUGAUUUCAAUUCUAAAUUUCUUUUUUUUGUGUGUGUUACUUAAUUUUUUAAAACUUUUAUUUAAUAAAUAUAGAUUUUGGAUUAUAACAUUUUCCCCCCAUAACCUCCCUCCCACCCAUAAUUUCUUAAGACUUGUUUUAAGGUACUAAAUGAUGUAAACAUACAAUGAGUUCUUGCAAAAUAUGUAUAUUAUGCUUCAGUUGGUCAUGGUGUUUUAUGAAAAUGUCAGUUAAGUGAAGUCAGUUGAUAAUGUUGUUCAAGUCUUUUAUAUCCUUCAGAUUUUCUGACUCCUUAUUCUAUUAAUUAUUGAGAGAGAAACAUCAGUCUUCAGAUAAAGCUGUCUCCCUUGAUCCAUGGGGGAUAUAUUCAAAGACCCCUAGGGGGUGCCUGAAACUGCAGAUAGUGCUGAACCAUGUCUAUGUCUAUAUGGAUAUGGAUAUAGAUAGUUAUUGUUUUUCCUAUAUACAUAUUGAUGAACUUUCACCUUUUCACUUAAAGUAAGCACUUUAUAGUUUUUUUUUCAUAUCUGCAUUGCCAGCAAUAUUACUGUUUUACUUUGGGGGCAUUAUUAUUAAGUAAAAUAAAGGUUACUCGAACACAGAAGCACUGUAGUACCUGACCUUCAAUGUGAUAAUCAAAAUGGCUACCAUAAUAGCAUAGACAUGCUGGACAUAGGAAUGAUUCAUGUUCUGAGCAGGAUGGAAUGUGAUUGCCUGAGAUUUCAUCAAGCUACUCCAAACAGCAUGCAAUUUAAAACUAUGGAUUGUUUGUUUAUGGAAUUUUGCCUUCUAUAUUUUUGGACAUAGUUGACUAUGAAUAUCUGAAACUGUGGAAAGUGAAAGUAUGGGUAAGGAGGGACUGCUGUAUAAGGGAAGAUCUGUAUAUGUCUCCUUUCGGUGCUAUCAGUUGUAAUGCUUGUAGUUUGAAGUCCUGUUUGUAGGUGUUGAAUACAGGCUGCCAUAACAGUGUAACAUAGAGUGGUUGACUUAAAUAGAAAACACAUUUUUUCACAGGGCUGGAGGCCAGAACACACAGGAUCACAGUGCUGACAUAGUUUCUGGUGAGGGCUAUCUUCCUAGCUUGCAGAUGACUGUCUUCUCACUGUGCCCUUCAUGGCAGAAAAACACCUCCAAGGUCUUUCCUCUUUUAGAUAACACUUCUAAUAAAUUAGGCCUCAGCACUUAUAACCUCAUUUAAUGUUAAUCACUUCUAUAGCGUCCUUAUUUCCAACACAGUCACAUACAUGGGAGUCAAGACUACAGAUAUGAAUUGUGGGGCCACACAAUUUGGUCACACAUAUAGGAUUGUUGUGCCUUCGUCAUGAAUUAACUUUUUCUCACUAUGAAAUACUCCUCUUUUAACCAUUAUAAUUUUCAUUGAUCUAAAAUACUUUGAUAUUAAUAAUGCCACUCAAAUUUUAUUUUUUUAAAGAUUUAUUAAUUUAUUUGAAAGGCAGAGUUACAGAGAGGCAGAGAGAGAGAGAGAGAGAGAGAGAUCUCUUUGAUCUACUGGUUCACUCCCCAAAUGGCUGCAAUGGUUGGAGCUGGGCUGAUCUAAAGACAGAAGCCAGUAGCUUCUUCCAGGUCUCCUAUGCAGGUGCAAGGGCCCGAGGACUUGGUCCAUCUUCCACUGCUUUGCCAGGCCAUAGCAGAGAACUGGAUCAGAAGUGGAGCAGCUGGGACUUGAACUGGCACCUACAUAGUAUGCCAGCACUACAAGUGGUAGCAUUACCUGCUACACAACAGAACUGGCCCCUCAAAUUUCUUUUGAUAAGUGUUAGCAUGGUAUGUACUUUUCCAUCCUUUUAUUUCUUGUAUUUUUGGUGCAGUGCGGCAAAUUUUGCCUUUUAAAUGGAAUCUUGAAAUUAUUUUUGUUUAAUGUCAUUAUUCAGUUGGUUAAAUAAAGCCUACCAACUUGUUAUUUUCUAUUUGCCUUUCCUGCUCUUUGUUUUGUUUUCCUGUUCCUCUUCCUUUUCAUGAAUAAAUUGACUAUUUUUAUAGUCAUAUUUUAUUGACAUCUUUGGGGGUAUACCUUCUUGUUUUGUUUUUCAUUGGCUUUUCUUGAGUUGCCAAUAUCCACUUUUAACUUGGUUUAUAUCAAAUAGUAUUAGACAUCCACGUAUGUAAAAUAGGAAGUUUACAAUAUUGGAUUUUGUUCUCAUUAUCGCUUGUGUUAUUGUUAUGUAUUUUUUUUUUAACUCUAUCAUUUGGGGCAAGUCAGCUUGAGCAUGUCCCAAAUUAUACAUCUCUUCCCUCUCUUAUUCCCACUCUUAUGUUAUGUAUUUUGUUUUCAGAUAUGCUAUAGAACCCACACUAUAUUAUUCUAAUUUUUGCUUUAGUCACUUAAGUUUUGAAAAAUGAGAAAAUUAUUUUUUUACAUUCUCAUAUGUACUUCCCAUUUCUGGGAUUCUUCAAUCUUUCAUUGAGGUUUGACUAGUGUUAUUUCAGCUCUGUCUAAAGAACUUCCUUUAAUAUUAUUGGAGGGUUAUUCUCGUGGUGAUGAAUUCUCUUCAUUUUGUUCAGUUUAUAUUACUCUUUUUUUUUUUUUUGACAGGCAGAGUGGACAGUGAGAGAGAGAGACAGAGAGAAAGGUCUUCCUUUGCCUUUGGUUCACCCUCCAAUGGCCGCCGCGGCCGGCGCGCUGCGGCCGGCGCACCAUGCUGAUCCGAUGACAGGAGCCAGGUACUUAUCCUGGUCUCCCGUGGGGUGCAGGGCCCAAGCACUUGGGCCAUCCUCCACUGCACUCCCUGGCCACAGCAGAGAGCUGGCCUGGAAGAGGGGCAACCAGGACAGAAUCCGGCUCCCCGACUGGGACUAGAACCCGGUGUGCCGGCACCGCAAGGCAGAGGAUUAGCCUAGUGAACUGAGGCGCCGGCCAGUUUGUAUUUACUCUUCAUUUUUGAAAGGUGUUUUCUCUUGGUCAAGAAUGGUAGGUAAACAGAUUGUUUUUGCCUUUCUAUAUAUGUGGCUUUCAUGGUUUAUUAUUGCUGUGUAUGUACUAUAACAAAGCACCUUAUUUUCCUGGCUGAUUUUAAGAUUUUCUUUUUGUCACUAAUUUUUAGCAAUUCUAUUAUUUUGAGCCUUCAAAUGCAAUACCCCUCUUGAAGCUUCUACUUGAUGCUCUAUCUAGUUUGUUGCUGUUAGUUUUGGCGUUUAUUUUCAUUCUGACUGGUGGCAACAUGAAUUACUACUAGUCUUCUCAGUUACAAGGUUUUUCUCACUACUCCAUUCCUUUUUAUUCCCCUAGAUUGGGUCAUUUCCUGUCAUGCAUGCAUACACCUGUAUUCAGCCAAAAUAUGUGAAUCCCAUGGCAGAUCUGGGGAGUCUGUCUUUGUGCAGCUCCUUUCUCUGUGAUACUGUGUCCUACUCAUUCCACCUUUCUUGGUUCUCUUUAAUUUUAAUAUCUGUUUUUUUCAACUCAGAGAGACUGCCUGACUCUGUUGUUGCCUGGAAGCUGCUUAUAGGAGUUAAGCUGGUGCAUCUUGCACUUUCAUCAUCUGUUUUCUUUCUUUCAUGGACUGCAGUCCUGUAUGCCUCUUCUUUAAUGUCCAUAAACCACUAUUUCUCAUAUUUUCUGGUUGUUUAUAACGUGGGAUGUGGUAACAGUGCUAAGCCCAUCCCAUUUUUAAAAGGAUUUAAUUAUUUAUUUAUUUGAGAGAUGGACAGAGAGAUGGACAGGUCUUGCAUAUACUGAUUCACUCUUCAAAUUCUUUUUUUUUUUUUUAAAGAUUUAUUUAUUUUAUUUGAAAUUCAGAGUUACAUAGAGAGAGAAGGAAAGGCAGAGAGAGAGAGAGAAAGAGGUCUUCCAUCUGCUGGUUCACUCCCCCAGUUGGCCACAAAGGCUGGAGCUGCGCCAAUCUGAAGCCAGGAGCCAGGAGCCAGGAGCCAGGAGCCAGGAGCCAGGAGCUUCUCCCAGGUCUCCCACAGGGGUGCAGAGCCCCAAGGCCUGGGUCAUCUAUUGCUUUCCCAGCCCAUAGCAGAGAACUGAGUCAGAAGUGGAGCAGCUGGGACUUCAGGCGGCGGCUUUACCUGCUACACCACAGCGCCAGCCCCUCCAAAUUCUUGAAAUAGCUGGGAGUAGGACACACUGAAGCCAGGAUCCAGGAAUUCCAUCUGUGUUUGCUGUGUGGGUGGAGCAACCCAAAUCCUUAAACUAUCACCUGCUGCCUCCCAGGGUGCAAAUUAGCAGGAAGCUAGAAUGAAAAGCAGAGCUGGUACUCAAACACAUGAACUCUGAUAUGGGAUGCAGGUGACCCAGAUAUCUUAAGGACUGUGCCAAAGGCCCACAUUAAACUCAUGCCUUUUAUCUCUCUUUUGGCUUGAAGCGAAAGUAUCUGAAUGUAUGCUGAAAGGUGAUUUUUUUCUGACAUCUUAAGUCUACACUCUAGAGUUUAUGAUAAAAGAGAAUAGUCAGAAAUUAAUGCUAGCACUAGUGCCUGUAUGGAUAUUCUAGUAAUUGCUAGAUAAUGAUAAAUAAAAAUAUCAUGAAGAUUAUUUGUAUUAUAAAGCUAUUUGACCUGUACAUCAACUAUGGUGCAGCAAUAUCAUGAAAUGCAGUAUCCUUUUCUGCUACAGUCUGCAAGUCUUAGAAUUUUAGAACAUAUUACUCUCACUAUUUCAGAUGCAGUAAUUGAAGUUCAAAUAGAUUAUUAAAUUUCUGUCUGGCAGACAAUUGCCAGGAAGGGUCCAAAUAGAAUUCAUAUGCCAGCUGCCUUAAUGGUUUGUGAAAUACUAUAGGUAAAUGAGAGGCAGUUUUAAUAUUGUGACUUCAAGGUGAAAGAUUAUUGUUUAACUUCCUAAUAGAUAAACACAUUAUUGCCUUUCAGUUCACUUUUGUUUAAAAACAGCUUCUUCUGGAAUUUUUCACUGAUACAUUGCUUUAGCUUUGACACAAAUCCCCAAGGUGUCAGUGCAAAAUUUAGCAUCUAAAUCUUCUUUAAAAUGAAUAUAGAAUUUUCAUGAGCAUAGUAAUACCAUUUAGAAAUAAUAUAAAUGUGCAUACAUGUGAAUAUGUAUAUAUAGUUUUGAAGUCUAUAAAAAUUAUAAUUUCAGCAUUUUCAUUAGUCUUUUAAGGUAUCGAAUUUUUCAAUAAAAGUACUCUCUAUUAUUGUUCACUUAGAGAUUUUUUCUAGGCAAUAGUAUGUGAAUUCAUUGCUUUCUCAGAGCUUGCUAUGGAUUUUCCAAUUAUGCAUGGAAUAGAUUGAAUAAAUUUUUCUCUUUUGUGGCAGUUUUAACUAUCUUUAAAAAAUAGUUUAAAUCCCUAGUUACUGCAUCUCAGUGUUAAUUACUUUAAGAAAUGCUCCCUAGAAAAAAAUCUCACUAUUAAUAGAAAAAUUUUCUUAUAAUAGCCAAUUACAAAUUUUAGCCAGGAUUCUUAAUAAAUUUCUCUUUGAUAUGAAUUUUUAAAUACCAAUUAUAAUGAAUCUGCUUCUGUAAAUCAAAGAAGUGGUUAAAACCAAAUGAUCCAAUUACAGGUUUAUUUUAAAUAUUAAUGAAUAAGGAAAACGUUUUAGCUCCUUAAGAUGCUAUUUUUCCCUUUAUAGAAUGUCAGCAAAGUAAUCAAUCUUACUUUGAUUAGACUUGUGUCUUGUCUUCUUUUUCUAUUAAAUUUCUGGAGACUUUUCAUUUGCUGGAGGAAAAAACACUCAGAAUGGUAUGGGGCAGUGAGAAAUAACAGCUAGGAAUUUUCCAGGGCUUUGAGGGUGGAUAAACUGAGAAGACAUGAGUGACUGCUGUACUCUGCGUUCAACUGUGUUUGUUGUGCUUCUCCAAUUUCAUUAUAAGCAGGUUUGAGUCCCAACUGCUCUACUUCUGAUCAGCUCCCUGCUAUGGCCUGGGAAAGCAGUGAAGAUGGCCCAAGUGCUUGGGCCCUGAGUGGGAAACCUGGAAGAAGCCCCUGACUCUUGUGUCUUUGGAUCUACCCAGCUCCUGCUGUUGUGGCCAUCUGGGGAGUGUACCAGCUGAUGGAAGACCUCUCUCUCUCUCUCUUUGUGCCUCUGCUUCUCUAUAACUCUUGCUUUCAAAUAAAUAAAUAUAUAUUCAAAAAUUGUAUAAUUGCUUUGAUUGUAUAAGUAUCAUAAUUAUCUAAUAUUAGGACAUUUUCAUCACCCCAGGAAAAUUUUGUACCCAUUUGCAGUCACUCUGUUAUUCCCUAUUCCCCUAGCCCAUACAAUUGCAAAUCUACUUUUUGUCUCUAUGGAUUGGUCUAUUCUGGGCAUUUCAAAUAAAUGGAAUCUUAAAAUGUA